rnacentral:rRNA from 1 species
UCCUACGGGACGCAGCAGUGAGGAAUAUUGGUCAAUGGGCGGAAGCCUGAACCAGCCAAGUCGCGUGAGGGAAUAAGGCCCUACGGGUCGUAAACCUCUUUUGCCGGGGAGCAAGGGCGGGGACGUGUCCCGGCCCGGAGAGUACCCGGAGAAAAAGCAUCGGCUAACUCCGUGCCAGCAGCCGCGGUAAUACGGAGGAUGCGAGCGUUAUCCGGAUUUAUUGGGUGUAAAGGGCGUGUAGGCGGGAGAGCAAGUCAGACGUGAAAUUCCAGGGCUCAACCCUGGAACUGCGUUUGAAACUGUUC